rnacentral:rRNA from 1 species
GACGAACGCUGGCGGCGUGCCUAAUACAUGCAAGUUGAGCGAUGAAGAUUGGUGCUUGCACCAAUUUGAAGAGCAGCGAACGGGUGAGUAACGCGUGGGGAAUCUGCCUUUGAGCGGGGGACAACAUUUGGAAACGAAUGCUAAUACCGCAUAACAACUUUAAACAUAAGUUUUAAGUUUGAAAGAUGCAAUUGCAUCACUCAAAGAUGAUCCCGCGUUGUAUUAGCUAGUUGGUGAGGUAAAGGCUCACCAAGGCGAUGAUACAUAGCCGACCUGAGAGGGUGAUCGGCCACAUUGGGGCUGAGACACGGCCCAAACUCCUACGGGAGGCAGCAGUAGGGAAUCUUCGGCAAUGGACGAAAGUCUGACCGAGCAACGCCGCGUGAGUGAAGAAGGUUUUCGGAUCGUAAAACUCUGUUGGUAGAGAAGAACGUUGGUGAGAGUGGAAAGCUCAUCAAGUGACGGUAACUACCCAGAAAGGGACGGCUAACUACGUG